UACGGGGGGGGCAAGCGUUAAUCGGAAUUACUGGGCGUAAAGCGCACGUAGGCGGGUCGCUAAGUCGGGGGGUGAAAUCCUGGAGCUCAACUCCAGAACUGCCUUCGAAACUGACGAUCUUGAGUUCGGGAGAGGUGAGUGGAACUGCGAGUGUAGAGGUGAAAUUCGUAGAUAUUCGCAAGAACACCAGUGGCGAAGGCGGCUCACUGGCCCGAUACUGACGCUGAGGUGCGAAAGCGUGGGGAGCAAACAGG
rnacentral:rRNA from 1 species